GCACUACACAAUUCUUCCAUGGCUGAAAUCUGACCUGAAGUGCUUCAUUAUGAGCUGGAACAACCAUCUAUCAUAACCGAAAAAAAUCUUUCACCAAAUCAGCUUUGAAACAUAGGAAAGUUGCAGACACCAGUGAUUGAGCCAGAUGUAGAGACAUUGGAGCGUUUGUAUCAACAGCAAACUGAUACUGACCCAGAAGAUGGUGUGGUGGUUCCAGAGAUCUAGUGCCCUUUAUCUAAACAGAGCCUUGCUCUUGUGGAAAUAUAAAUUUCUAUCAACUAAUUCCAAAUGAACAGUAAUCUACGUAUAACUGAAAAGUUAUAUUCUCUGGUUUUUAAUUAUAUAAUUUCAUUAACAUCCCAGCUAGGAGGGACAUUUAACCUUUAUCUCUCUCACUACAGGCUAAGCCAGUGAUGCAAAUGCUUUAAACGACUCUGUCUUUGUCUUCGGGUGUUGCUUUUAUGCUACAGAAACCCUAUGUUGAUUAACUUGUGUGGUCAGUAGCUGGGCUGUUUUUUAACACCUAUGCCAUGCUGACUCCAACUCUUAAUUUGCAUGCUCUGUUUAGCCAUAUCCCCUCCUCCUAAGAACACAAUAUAGCCAUGAAAUCUUUGUCUCAAUUCAGACUAAUUCAGACUUGUGUGAGACUUGUGAGAGACUUGUAAAAGAACUUGCAGACUGCGGACCUCUAGUAGGCUCUUGCAGACACAUUGGACAUCUUAAAGACGCUGUAUGACUGCAGAUUAACCAACACGUCUCAAUAAAGGAAUUCUGCUUGUUUCGAGUC
ensembl:processed_transcript